AGCGUAGACGGAUGGACAAGUCUGAUGUGAAAGGCUGGGGCUCAACCCCGGGGACUGCAUUGGAAACUGCCCGUCUUGAGUGCCGGAGAGGUAAGCGGAAUUCCUAGUGUAGCGGUGAAAUGCGUAGAUAUUAGGAGGAACACCAGUGGCGAAGGCGGCUUACUGGACGGUAACUGACGUUGAGGCUCGAAGGCCAGGGUAGCGAAAG
rnacentral:rRNA from 1 species